rnacentral:tRNA from 1 species
CUUAUGGUGUAAUACUAACACAUCGGAUUUUCGCACCGAAGAUGAAAGUUUCUAAG